ensembl:ncRNA R07E4.9 ncRNA
GCUAGUGCUCCAUCAAGGUUCCAGCGCUUCCCCUUUUUUCAUUUCAUUCCACGCCGCUCAUCAUUCAUCCGUCGUGACUGAGAUUCGAUCAUACUAGCAGACACCUGGUUACUUUU